rnacentral:rRNA from 1 species
GUGGGGAAUAUUGGGCAAUGGGGGAAACCCUGACCCAGCAACGCCGCGUGAAGGAAGAAGGCUUUCGGGUUGUAAACUUCUUUUAUGAGGGACGAAGAAGUGACGGUACCUCAUGAAUAAGCCACGGCUAACUACGUGCCAGCAGCCGCGGUAAUACGUAGGUGGCAAGCGUUGUCCGGAUUUACUGGGUGUAAAGGGCGCGUAGGCGGGAUAGCAAGUCAGGUGUGAAAUCCGGGGGCUUAACCCUCGAACUGCACUUGAAACUGUUAUUCUUGAGUGAUGGAGAGGCAAGCGGAAUUCCUAGUGUAGCGGUGAAAUGCGUAGAUAUUAGGAGGAACACCAGUGGCGAAGGCGGCUUUCUGGACUGUAACUGACACUGAGGCACGAAAGCGUGGGGAGCAAACAGGAUUAGAAACCCCAGUAGUCC